AAGAUCACAUAUGAUGGAUGUACAACCUGGACUUUACAGUUUAAGAAAAGCUUCCUGGAAGAAGUGAAGUUUAAUCUGAGGCCGAAGAGGUAACCAGGAUUCCUCUCGUGGCAUUUGUAAGUAGACAGAACAAAAAAUCAUCACCACCACUUUUUGUCAAGGGAAACUGAGGCACAGAAGACGGGAGACACUUCACCAAAAGCAACUAUGCAUUACACCAAAUUCCAGCUAUGAAGAAGAGAGAGAAUUUUCUGGAGGGAGAAAACAAUUCCUUUUAUGUGAUUCACUAUUCUCCCCCUUUCCAAAAGACUUCUACAGGAAAUGAAUUUACAGUCUUUACAAACCAACUUAGAAGAAAAGAAUGAUUCUCACUAGAUACUCAUCUGCUGACAAUCAGG